UGGACUAAUUUUGAGGCCGCUAACAUUACGCUCUUCAAGCAAUCUCACUCUCGAGAUCCCUCUGCACUCUACUUCUUUAUAUUCUAAAUCUUUCGCUGUUCGUGCUGCUACUCUUUGGAAUACUUUGCCUUUAGAUAUUCGACGAGCCGGUUCAAUAAAUAUUUUUAAACAUAAACUUAAA